rnacentral:rRNA from 1 species
UACAGAGGUCUCAAGCGUUGUUCGGAUUCAUUGGGCGUAAAGGGUGCGUAGGUGGCGCGGUAAGUCGGGUGUGAAAUUUCGGAGCUUAACUCCGAAACUGCAUUCGAUACUGCCGUGCUUGAGGACUGGAGAGGAGACUGGAAUUUACGGUGUAGCAGUGAAAUGCGUAGAGAUCGUAAGGAAGACCAGUGGCGAAGGCGAGUCUCUGGACAUUUCCUGACGCUGAGGCACGAAAGCCAGGGGAGCAAACGGG